CCUUGUUUCCUUUUCUUUCUUUUUCUUUACUUUCUUCUUUCUGUGGAUUCUUGGCAAAAAUAGGAGAUCUUGUGGUCCUACCUAUUCCCUAGAUCGGAGGUCGUAGUUGCCACGAUUGUGGCUGAGGGUGGUUGGAGCUACAAUGGUGCAUCCCAACAAUUCUAGAUUGGUGGUCGAUAGUGACAAUCGGUGCCAGAAAAAUCAAAAUAAGAAGGGCAAAAAUGAGGGAAAAAUAGGAGACUUUUUAGUUCGAUCUUUUCUAACAAAAAUCUGAUGAUAGCCGGCCAAAAUCCAAGCUUCUAAGGGCUUAGAAGAUGAGAAGAAAG
rnacentral:lncRNA from 1 species